UUAAUGGUGUCUUUAGACACCACCGAUAUUCUAUGAAGUUAUUUCU
rfam:Picea glauca, whole genome shotgun sequence.